rnacentral:rRNA from 1 species
ACUCAAAUGAAUUGACGGGGGCCCGCACAAGCGGAGGAACAUGUGGUUUAAUUCGAUGAUACGCGAGGAACCUUACCCGGGCUUGAAAUGGAGCGGAAUAACGUGGAAACAUGUUAGCCAGCAAUGGUCGCUUUGUAGGUGCUGCAUGGUUGUCGUCAGCUCGUGCCGUGAGGUGUCGGCUUAAGUGCCAUAACGAGCGCAACCCUUACUGAUAGUUACCAGCAGGUAAAGCUGGGGACUCUAUCGGGACUGCCACCGUAAGGUGUGAGGAAGGUGGGGAUGACGUCAAAUCAGCACGGCCCUUACGUCCGGGGCGACACACGUGUUACAAUGGGGAGUACAGAGGGAAGCUACACAGCGAUGUGAUGCCAAUCUCCAAAGCUUCUCGUAGUUCGGAUUGGAGUCUGCAACUCGACUCCAUGAAGCCGGAUUCGCUAGUAAUCGCGCAUCAGCCAUGGCGCGGUGAAUACGUUCCCGGGCCUUGUACACACCGCCCGU